rnacentral:rRNA from 1 species
UACGGGGGGGGCAAGCGUUGUUCGGAAUUACUGGGCGUAAAGGGCUCGUAGGCGGCCAACUAAGUCAGACGUGAAAUCCCUCGGCUUAACCGGGGAACUGCGUCUGAUACUGGAUGGCUUGAAUCCGGGAGAGGGAUGCGGAAUUCCAGGUGUAGCGGUGAAAUGCGCAGAUAUCUGGAAGAACACCCGUGGCGAAGGCGGUUUCCUGGGACGGUACUGACGCUGAGACGCGAAAGCGUGGGGAGCGAACAGG